rnacentral:rRNA from 1 species
CAGCCGCCACGGUAAUACGUAGGUCCCGAGCGUUGUCCGGAUUUAUUGGGCGUAAAGCGAGCGCAGGCGGUUAGAUAAGUCUGAAGUUAAAGGCUGUGGCUUAACCAUAGUAUGCUUUGGAAACUGUUUAACUUGAGUGCAAGAGGGGAGAGUGGAAUUCCAUGUGUAGCGGUGAAAUGCGUAGAUAUAUGGAGGAACACCGGUGGCGAAAGCGGCUCUCUGGCUUGUAACUGACGCUGAGGCUCGAAAGCGUGGGGAGCAAACAGGAUUAGAUACCCCUGUAGUCCCUGUCUCUUAUACA